rnacentral:tRNA from 1 species
GGAGAGGUGGCCGAGUGGUCGAAGGCGCACGCCUGGAAAGUGUGUGUACCGAAAGGUACCGAGGGUUCGAAUCCCUCCCUCUCCGCCA